rnacentral:rRNA from 1 species
GACGAACCGUCCAAACGUUGUUCGGAAUCACUGGGCUUAAAGGGCGCGUAGGCGGCCUUGAAAGUCGGGGGUGAAAUCCCACGGCCUAACCGUGGAAGUGCCUCCGAUACUGCAGGGCUCGAGGGAGGUAGGGGCAGCUGGAACUUCCGGUGGAGCGGUGAAAUGCGUUGAUAUCGGAAGGAACGCCGGUGGCGAAAGCGAGCUGCUGGACCUCUGCUGACGCUGAGGCGCGAAAGCCAGGGGAGCAAACGGG